rnacentral:rRNA from 1 species
CAGCCGCCGCGGGAAUACGAAGGGGGCUAGCGUUGCUCGGAAUGACUGGGCGUAAAGGGCGCGUAGGCGGUUUUGACAGUCAGAUGUGAAAUUCCUGGGCUUAACCUGGGGGCUGCAUUUGAGACGUCAAGACUAGAGUGUGAGAGAGGGUUGUGGAAUUCCCAGUGUAGAGGUGAAAUUCGUAGAUAUUGGGAAGAACACCGGUGGCGAAGGCGGCAACCUGGCUCAUUACUGACGCUGAGGCGCGAAGGCGUGGGGAGCAAACAGGAUUAGAUACCCCCGUAGUCCCUGUCUCUUAUAC